UACGUAGGGGGCAAGCGUUGUCCGGAUUCAUUGGGCGUAAAGAGCGUGUAGGCGGCCAGGUAGGUCGGUUGUGAAAACUGGAGGCUCAACCUUCAGAGGUCGACCGAAACCAUCUGGCUAGAGUCCGGGAGAGGGGAGUGGAAUUCCUGGUGUAGCGGUGAAAUGCGCAGAUAUCAGGAAGAACACCCGUGGCGAAAGCGGCUCUAUGGAACGGUACUGACGCUGAGACGCGAAAGCGUGGGGAGCGAACAGG
rnacentral:rRNA from 1 species